AGAUUGAACGCUGGCGGCAUGCCUUACACAUGCAAGUCGAACGGCAGCACGGGAGCAAUCCUGGUGGCGAGUGGCGAACGGGUGAGUAAUACAUCGGAACGUGCCCAAUCGUGGGGGAUAACGCAGCGAAAGCUGUGCUAAUACCGCAUAAGAUCUACGGAUGAAAGCAGGGGAUCGCAAGACCUUGCGCGAAUGGAGCGGCCGAUGGCAGAUUAGGAGUUGGUGAGGUAAAGGCUCACCAAGCCUUCGAUCUGUAGCUGGUCUGAGAGGACGACCAGCCACACUGGGACUGAGACACGGCCAGACUCCGUACGGAGGCAGCAGGUGGGAAUUUGGACAGUGGGACGAAAGCCGUGACUCCAGACCAGUCGCCGCGUCG
rnacentral:rRNA from 1 species